rnacentral:rRNA from 1 species
ACGGUAAGUAUGAUAGCAAUAUUAUAUGAGAGUGACGUACGGGUGCGUAACACGUAUGCAACCUACCCUUUACAGGCGGAUAGCUCGGGGAAACUCGGAUUAACCCGUCAUAAUAUAAUUGGAUGGCAUCAUUUGAUUAUUAAAUCUACGGAGGUAAAGGAUGGGCAUGCGUCUGAUUAGUUAGUUGGCGGGGUAAUGGCCCACCAAGACGAUGAUCAGUAGGGGAACUGAGAGGUUGAUCCCCCACACUGGCACUGAGAUACGGGCCAGACUCCUACGGGAGGCAGCAGUAGGGAAUAUUGGUCAAUGGAUGGAAGUCUGAACCAGCCAUGCCGCGUGCAGGAAGAAGGCCUUCUGGGUUGUAAACUGCUUUUGCCAGGGGCUAAAAAGCUCAUGCGUGGGAAAUUGAAAGUACCUGGUGAAUAAGCCACGGCUAACUA